rnacentral:rRNA from 1 species
UGGUGGAGUGAUUUGUCUGGUUAAUUCCGUUAACGAACGAGACCUCGACCUACUAAAUAGUUUGCCAUACUCUUUGGGUAUGUGUAAGCUUCUUAGAGGGACUAUCGGUUGUUAGCCGAUGGAAGUUCGAGGCAAUAACA